GGACCCUUAGCUCAGUUGGUUAGAGCAUCCGGCUCAUAACCGGGCGGUCGCAGGUUCGAAUCCUUCAGGGUCCACCA
rnacentral:tRNA from 1 species